CAAUCCUCUGAGACUCCAUUUCAGAAUGAUAAUCACCAGGUUGAUGGCCACUUAAGCUCCUAUGAUAUUGGCUAUAAAGAGCUCAUGAAUGGUAUCACUGAUUCAUCUAAAUGUAGAACUUCUGAACAUGAGCAUUUGGGAGAAAUAAGUGAAAUGGAAAUUGAUAAAGUGAAUGCUGAAGUUGCUGAUGCCACAAAUCAUUCUGCUCAGGAGUUGGUGACAUCCCAAAGUGAGCCAGUGUCUGGAGAUAUUUUUGAAAUGGCAACUGGUACUGUUGAUCAGUCAGAUUUCAUGGAAAAAAUUAUUGGUGCUGACGAUCUUAUGCAGAUGGAUGCUUCAAACCUACCAUCUGAUAAGAUUGAUUCACAACUAGUUGAGGAAGUUGCUUCUUUAAGGGACAUGGGCAAUGACACAGAUUUUGAUGGUAUUGAAGUUGUAGGCCAUUCUGCAGAGCAAAGUGUUGCAAUUGCAACUGAAUUGGGGAUAGAAGGAAUGCUGUUGGAGGAAAGCAAAGUUGGUGCAUUAAUGGAAGUCACAGAUUUUCGGGCAGAAGGUUCUUUACAUAUUAACGAUGCAGACUGUUCUCUUGCUAAUGUAUCUUUUGAAACUGGUGGAUGCAUUAACUUUAGUUCUGUAAAUGUUGACCAACCUUUGGACGAGAUCGGAAAUGAUAAGCAUGGGAUUCGUAGCGAGGAUGGAGGCUUGGCUGUGACCUCAGGGUGCAUUGAUGAUAAGGACCAAAUCUCUAAUCAUUUGUGUAAUGAAGAAUCUAANNNNNCUGGUAGGACUUGAUAGGGAUUUCAAAAGCACCUCCAUGAAUGGAGAUUAUACAGUAUGCGAACAAGCUGAUCAUCAGAGCACCAUGGAUAUGCAAAAUACACUGCUUGACCAUGUUACUAUCAGGGAUUGUGGUGAUUUUCAAGAUGAUGCAUUUGCAAAUGAUACAGAGUUCUUGAAUGUAGAUGAUGAUGAAAUAGGUGAAGAUGAUGAGGAAGGCAUGCCCAAUGCUGAAGAUACUCGCCUUCUUGAGAACAGUGGGUGGUCUUCUCGCACCAGGGCUGUUGCCAAGUACCUUCAAACUCUAUUUGAUAAGGAAGCAGAACAUGGAAGAAAGGUCCUCGCAAUGGACAAUCUACUAGCUGGUAAAACUCGCAAGGAAGCAUCGAGAAUGUUCUUUGAGACAUUGGUACUUAAAACAAGGGAUUAUGUCCAUGUUGAACAGGCGAAGCCUUUUGACAACAUUAAUAUAAAGCCACGAGCAAAGCUUGUGAAAUCAGACUUCUGACCUCUUGCGUAGGAAGGCAAAUGCAUUUGAUGAAGUCCAUGUAGUCUUGGAUUGGCUGAUGUUUGGGCAGGCUGGAUUUUUUCGUUUUGGUCGUUUUUUUUUUUUUUUUAAUGUAACUGGUAGAUGAGUAGUGGGAUAAAGCUGCACAUGUCACCAUGUUUAUAACAAAAUUGUUGUAAUGUAGAUCUUAUGUGUAAAUAUGUAAAAGAUAUCAUUAUUAUUUGCAAGUAUAGCCCUUUAUCUUAUCGUGUACGGCACAGAGCACUUGCUCAAUUGGAUGC
rnacentral:misc_RNA from 1 species